UACGUAGGGUGCGAGCGUUAAUCGGAAUUACUGGGCGUAAAGUGUGCGCAGGCGGCCGCGCAAGUCGAGUGUGAAAGCCCCGAGCUUAACUUGGGAAUUGCGCUCGAAACUACGUGGCUGGAGCGUGGCAGAGGAAGGUGGAAUUCCACGUGUAGCGGUGAAAUGCGUAGAGAUGUGGAGGAACACCAGUGGCGAAGGCGGCUUUUUGGUCUGUAACUGACGCUGAGGCGGCGAAAAGCGUGGGGAGCAAACAGG
rnacentral:rRNA from 1 species